GCUUAGAAGCAGCCACUCAUUAAAAGAGUGCGUAAUAGCUCACUGGUCGAGUGACCCUGCGCCGAAAAUUUAACGGGGCUAAAUCAUACACCGAAGCUUGGGAUUGACAGAUAUUCUUCAUGUUUUCAGGCAGGAUAGGAAAGAGAGAAAAUCUGAUGACGCCGAAGAAUGAGGCGGCAUUAAAUUUCUGUUCAAGUAAAAGCAUGAAGAUGUGAAGAAUAUCUGUCGAUGGUAGGAGAGCGUUCUAUGUGGGGAGAAGUCUGAGCGGAAGCGCAGGUGGACUGCAUAGAAGUGAGAAUGCCGGAAUGAGUAGCGCGAAAUAUGUGAGAAUCAUAUUGGCCGAAAGUCUAAGGUUUUUGGAGGAAGGUUCGUCCGCUCCAAGUAAGUCGGGAGCUAAGGCGAGGCCGAAAGGCGUAGUCGAUGCACAUACGGUAGAUAUUCCGUAACCGCCGAAGGAUUAAAGCAAAGGGACACCUGCGAAGCGUGUAACCCGGGCGAUGGUUGCCCCGGGCGUAAGGGACCGAAAUUUAGUAGGGAAGUACAUGUGAAUUAGGGCGAGAAAAGCUUUGUGUAUAUCCAAGGCGCCCGUACCGCAAACCGACACAGGUAGAUAGGAAGAGAAUUCUAAGGCCAACGGGAGAAGGGUAGUUAAGGAACUCGGCAAAUUGGUCCCGUAACUUAGGGAAAAGGGACGCUCCAGAGAUGGAGCCGCAGUGAAUAGGCCCAGGCGACUGUUUAGCAAAAACACAGGUCUCUGCCAAAUCGAAAGAUGAAGUAUAGGGGCUGACACCUGCCCGGUGCUGGAAGGUUAAGAGGAGAUGUGCAAGCAUUGAAUUGAAGCCCCAGUAAACGGCGGCCGUAACUAUAACGGUCCUAAGGUAGCGAAAUUCCUUGUCGGGUAAGUUCCGACCCGCACGAAUGGUGUAACGAUCUGGGCACUGUCUCAACUACCCGCCCGGCGAAAUUGUAGUACCGGUGAAGAUGCCGGUUACCCGCGACAAGACGGAAAGACCCCAUGGAGCUUUACUGUAGCUUGAUAUUGGGUUUCGGUAAUUUAUGUACAGGAUAGGCGGGAGACUAGGAAGCCAGUACGCCAGUAUUGGUGGAGUCGUCCUUGGGAUACCGCUCUUAAGUUGCUGGAAUUCUAACCUGCGGCCGUGAAUCCGGCCGGGGGACAUUGUCAGGUGGGCAGUUUGACUGGGGCGGUCGCCUCCAAAAGAGUAACGGAGGCGCUCAAAGGUUCGCUCAGCACGGACGGAAACCGUGCUUUUGAGUGUAAACGCAGAAGCGAGCCUGACUGCGAGGGUGACGGCCCGAGCAGAAACGAAAGUUGGAGUUAGUGAUCCGGCGGUAUGUGAAUGGAAAUGCCGUCGCUCAACGGAUAAAAGCUACCCUGGGGAUAACAGGCUGAUCUCCCCCAAGAGUCCACAUCGACGGGGAGGUUUGGCACCUCGAUGUCGGCUCAUCGCAUCCUGGGGCUGAAGUAGGUCCCAAGGGUUGGGCUGUUCGCCCAUUAAAGCGGUACGCGAGCUGGGUUCAGAACGUCGUGAGACAGUUCGGUCCCUAUCUGUCGUGGGCGCAGGAUAUUUGAGGAGCUCUGUCCUUAGUACGAGAGGACCGGGAUGGACGCACCGCUGGUGCACCAGUUGUCACGCCAGUGGCACAGCUGGGCAGCUAAGUGCGGAUCGGAUAAACGCUGAAAGCAUCUAAGCGUGAAGCCGGCUCCAAGAUAAGAUAUCCCAUUCCGUAAGGAAGUAAGACCCCUUGAAGACUACAAGGUUGAUAGGCUGCGUGUGUAAGCGCCGCGAGGCGUUCAGCUUGGCAGUACUAAUAGGUCGAGGGCUUGACCUU
rnacentral:rRNA from 1 species